rnacentral:rRNA from 1 species
AGAGUUUGAUCCUGGCUCAGAACGAACGCUGGCGGCAGGCUUAACACAUGCAAGUUGAACGGGAACAUACGAUAGCUUGCUAUAGUAUGUGAGAGUGGCGCACGGGUGAGUAAUACAUGGGAACAUACCUUAAAGUGGGGGAUAACUUCUGGAAACGGAUGCUAAUACCGCAUAUACCCUGAGGGGGAAAGAUUUAUCGCUUUAAGAUUGGCCCAUGGCAGAUUAGGUAGUUGGUGGGGUAAAGGCCUACCAAGCCGACGAUCUGUAGCUGGUCUGAGAGGACGAUCAGCCACAUUGGGACUGAGACACGGCCCAGACUCCUACGGGAGGCAGCAGUGAGGAAUAUUGGGCAAUGGGGGCAACCCUGACCCAGCCAUGCCGCGUGAGUGAAGAAGGUUUUCGAAUUGUAAAGCUCUUUCGGAUGUGACGAUGAUGACGGUAGCAUCUAAAGAAGCCCCGGCAAACUUCGUGCCAGCAGCCGCGGUAAUACGAAGGGGGCGAGCGUUGUUCGGAAUUACUGGGCGUAAAGGGUGUGUAGGUGGACGUGUAAGAUAGCGGUGAAAUGCCGGAGCUCAACUUCGGAAUUGCCAUUAUAACUAUGCGUCUAGAAUUAUAGAGAGGAUAGCGGAAUACCCAGUGUAGAGGUGAAAUUCGUAGAUAUUGGGUAGAACACCAGUGGCGAAGGCGGCUAUCUGGCUAUAUAUUGACACUGAGGCACGAAAGCAUGGGGAUCAAACAGGAUUAGAUACCCUGGUAGUCCAUGCCGUAAACGAUGAAUGCUGGUUGUCGGACGAAUGUUCGGUGACGAAGUUAACGCGAUAAGCAUUCCGCCUGGGGAGUACGGCCGCAAGGUUAAAACUCAAAGGAAUUGACGGGGACCCGCACAAGCGGUGGAGCAUGUGGUUUAAUUCGAAGCAACGCGAAGAACCUUACCAGGUCUUGACAUCCGUGUAAAGCCGCAGAGAUGCGGUGUGAGCUUGCUCAAUACGAGACAGGUGGUGCAUGGUUGUCGUCAGCUCGUGUCGUGAGAUGUUGGGUUAAGUCC